rnacentral:rRNA from 1 species
UACGAAGGUGGCAAGCGUUGUUCGGAAUUACUGGGCGUAAAGCGUGCGUAGGUGGUGAGUUAAGUCUGUCGUGAAAGCCCCGGGCUCAACCUGGGAAUGGCGAUGGGUACUGGCUCGCUAGAGUGCGGUAGAGGAGAGUGGAAUUCCCGGUGUAGCAGUGAAAUUCGUAGAUAUUCGGAAGAACACCAGUGGCGAAGGCGGCUCACUGGUCCGGUACUGACGCUGAGGUGCGAAAGCGUGGGGAGCAAACAGG